CGAAAUUCGGCGCGCUUCGGCGCUGCCUUAUUCACCCACCCUUUGUCUACGUGUACCUCUAUAGCUUCCUCGGCGGGCUCGCCCGCCGCCAGGAACCCACGAAACCCCUUGCAUUAUACACGAAAACUUCUGAUAACAAACCUAAAUUAUUA
rnacentral:misc_RNA from 2 species